ACUAUAUCAGAUGCUCAGUAUCCAUGCUAGUAAUCAGCUAUAGUUUUUGGCUCCUCUCACUCCAAUUCUGAGGUGCCCUCUGCUUCUUAAUGGGAGAGAGGAUUAUAAUGGUGUUGGAUACCUUUUUGUCUUUUCUGGAAGGAAGGAUAUUCAUGAUUAACACCCCUCAUUGGAGUUGCAGUCCCUAGGUCAUAUCAUGGCGAUCCUGUUCUAAAUCCUCUCACACCUUGGGAGAGACCACCUAUAAAAAAUAUUUUUUGCAUCUAUGGAAUAGACUCAAAGACUGAGGUGGGAUACUACUUUGCACCAAGUGGCAAGCCUUACCCUGAUAAUUGGAUCAUAACAGAUGUCAUUUAUGAGAUUGAAGGAUCUCUGUUCUCAAGGUCAGGGAAUCAAGUUGAAGGAAAUCCAGGAAGAGCAAGUGGAGAUGAGACGGUACCAUACAAUUCUCUCUCUUGGUGUAAGAGUUGGCUUGGACCAAAAGUAAACAUAACUAGGGCUCCUCAGG